UAUAAUUUUUAUAAAUAACAUAAAGAUCAUUGGUAAGAAAAAAGGUGAGUGAAAGGUAAAUGAAAGACAUUGAGAUUGAGAAGUGUAAGAAGAAAGAAAAGACCUGAUAUCUUCAAAAUUGAUUGAAAUUCCUUCACCGUUACGAUUUAGAAAUAACAACAAAAUAGAAAGAAAACUCUCGCAUCUCUCGAUUGCAAUUCUGAAUCGCGUUUUAGAGUGAGAAACAAGUAAUAAGAAGGUGAUAUGGAAGAAGGCCUAGUUUGCCAGUGGACCGUUAUUAGAUCUCUUUUGGCAAUUCUUCAAUGGUGGGCUUUCAAUGUCACUGUCAUUAUUAUCAACAAGUGGAUCUUUCAGAAACUAGAUUUCAAGUUUCCCCUAUCAGUAUCCUGUAUCCACUUUAUCUGCUCAGCCAUUGGAGCAUAUGUGGUAAUUAAAGUGCUGAAGCUUAAACCACUCAUAUCUGUUGACCCUCAAGAUCGCUGGAAAAGAAUCUUUCCUAUGUCAUUUGUGUUCUGCAUUAACAUAGUUUUGGGAAAUGUGAGCCUACGCUACAUUCCCGUUUCUUUCAUGCAGACAAUAAAGUCAUUUACUCCUGCAACAACAGUUGUCUUGCAGUGGCUAGUAUGGAGGAAAUAUUUUGAUUGGCGUAUUUGGGCUUCUCUCAUACCCAUUGUUGGAGGGAUUCUUCUGACAUCUAUUACAGAGCUUAGCUUUAAUAUGUUAGGAUUUUGUGCUGCCUUAUUUGGCUGUUUGGCUACUUCUACAAAGACUAUCCUUGCAGAAGCGCUGUUGCAUGGUUACAAAUUUGACAGCAUAAACACAGUUUAUUACAUGGCACCUUUUGCAACCCUGAUCAUGGUGUUACCUGCUAUGUUACUUGAAGGCAGCGGAAUUCUUGAGUGGCUAAGUAUUCACCCAUAUCCUUGGGCAGCCCUGAUAAUUAUUUUCAGCUCCGGUGUUUUGGCAUUCUGCCUUAACUUCUCUAUUUUUUAUGUGAUUCACUCCACUACGGCUGUAACAUUUAAUGUUGCUGGAAACCUUAAGGUUGCAGUUGCUGUCCUUGUUUCUUGGCUGAUAUUUAGAAAUCCAAUUUCUUAUAUGAAUGCGGUUGGAUGUGCCAUAACUCUUGUUGGAUGUACAUUCUAUGGUUAUGUCAGGCACAUGCUUUCCCAACAAUCAUCCGUUCCAGGAACUCCUCGGACGCCUAGGAGUAAGAUGGAGUUGCUUCCUCUUGUAAAUGAUAAAUUAGAUGACAAGGUCUAAUUGGUUUAGUUACUAGUGAGGUUUCUGUUGUUCGAAAUUACAGUAAUAGCUAAAGGUUGGCUUGAUUUCACCAUGAUUGUUACCCCAUAUUUAUAUUUUGUUUCGAGAUAUGCCUGCAACCUACAGCAUACAUGUGAUGAUAGUUAAUGGUUAUUAUGUAUUUAUGUAAGUGAUAAUGAAUGAAAAACUUGCAUUUAAUGCACAAAGCUAACAGUGAACUUGACAACUUA